ensembl:snoRNA
AAGCACUGUUUGUAACCUGUCCGCCUGCUGUGGUGGGUGGAUUCCAUUCCAGUGCCACAGCAUUUCCAGUGACACAUACAUGACUGGUGGGCUGGUAGCUUUCAGUUUUAGGUCCUGGAGACAUAG